CCUGGCUCAGAUUGAACGCUGGCGGCAGGCCUAACACAUGCAAGUCGAACGGUAACAGGAAGCAGCUUGCUGCUUUGCUGACGAGUGGCGGACGGGUGAGUAAUGUCUGGGAAACUGCCUGAUGGAGGGGGAUAACUACUGGAAACGGUAGCUAAUACCGCAUAACGUCGCAAGACCAAAGAGGGGGACCUUAGGGCCUCUUGCCAUCGGAUGUGCCCAGAUGGGAUUAGCUAGUAGGUGGGGUAACGGCUCACCUAGGCGACGAUCCCUAGCUGGUCUGAGAGGAUGACCAGCCACACUGGAACUGAGACACGGUCCAGACUCCUACGGGAGGCAGCAGUGGGGAAUAUUGCACAAUGGACGCAAGCCUGAUGCAGCCAUGCCGCGUGUAUGAAGAAGGCCUUCGGGUUGUAAAGUACUUUCAGCGGGGAGGAAGGGAGUAAAGUUAAUACCUUUGCUCAUUGACGUUACCCGCAGAAGAAGCACCGGCUAACUCCGUGCCAGCAGCCGCGGUAAUACGGAGGGUGCAAGCGUUAAUCGGAAUUACUGGGCGUAAAGCGCACGCAGGCGGUUUGUUAAGUCAGAUGUGAAAUCCCCGGGCUCAACCUGGGAACUGCAUCUGAUACUGGCAAGCUUGAGUCUCGUAGAGGGGGGUAGAAUUCCAGGUGUAGCGGUGAAAUGCGUAGAGAUCUGGAGGAAUACCGGUGGCGAAGGCGGCCCCCUGGACGAAGACUGACGCUCAGGUGCGAAAGCGUGGGGAGCAAACAGGAUUAGAUACCCUGGUAGUCCACGCCGUAAACGAUGUCGACUUGGAGGUUGUGCCCUUGAGGCGUGGCUUCCGGAGCUAACGCGUUAAGUCGACCGCCUGGGGAGUACGGCCGCAAGUGUAAAACUCAAAUGAAUUGACGGGGGCCCGCACAAGCGGUGGAGCAUGUGGUUUAAUUCGAUGCAACGCGAAGAACCUUACCUGGUCUUGACAUCCACGGAAGUUUUCAGAGAUGAGAAUGUGCCUUCGGGAACCGUGAGACAGGUGCUGCAUGGCUGUCGUCAGCUCGUGUUGUGAAAUGUUGGGUUAAGUCCCACAACGAGCGCAACCCUUAUCCUUUGUUGCCAGCGGUCCGGCCGGGAACUCAAAGGAGACUGCCAGUGAUAAACUGGAGGAAGGUGGGGAUGACGUCAAGUCAUCAUGGCCCUUACGACCAGGGCUACACACGUGCUACAAUGGCGCAUACAAAGAGAAGCGACCUCGCGAGAGCAAGCGGACCUCAUAAAGUGCGUCGUAGUCCGGAUUGGAGUCUGCAACUCGACUCCAUGAAGUCGGAAUCGCUAGUAAUCGUGGAUCAGAAUGCCACGGUGAAUACGUUCCCGGGCCUUGUACACACCGCCCGUCACACCAUGGGAGUGGGUUGCAAAAGAAGUAGGUAGCUUAACCUUCGGGAGGGCGCUUACCACUUUGUGAUUCAUGACUGGGGUGAAGUCGUAACAAGG
rnacentral:rRNA from 1 species